AACAAAAAAAAAUCUAAUAUUUUAAACUUUGAAAUUAGAAAUUGUAAUGCCAUCGAAUCAAUUUUUUUCCCCCAAAAGAAACCCUAACAGUUCGUGAGCUGCCGUCGUCACUAACAGCCGGUCAGCCGCCACCGUUCGUCGUCACUGACCAACACUCAGCUGCACCUGUUGGUUCUCCUGCAGCAAGGUUUUUGCCUUUUCCACUUUUCUUUCUUUGUUUAUUUAUUUCGAAUUGCAUCUGGUUUCAUUGAUUUGGGUGUCUCUGUGCGUGUGUUUGUUUGUCAGUAAUGAGUCAUUGAGUUGAUGGAGAUGGCUAUUUACAAUGUUUGCUGAAAUGCGCUCCAGCUUCAAAGUUGAUGGAGUCGAAAGAGGCUUUUUGACUUUGCAGCUAUUUGUCAGCUUCGAAAGGUUUACAUUUAGUCCAUUGUCUCUUUAACAAUCAGUGGAAUUCAUAUGCAGUAGAUGCCCUUGCUCUAGGAUUAUCUCUGUUCGGUAUCUCUGGAAUGGUAAUUGCUAAUUUUAGAAUUCUUGAUGAGUUGAUAGGGCCGGUAUUGUUCAUCAUAUCUAGCAUUACAUUGCACAUCUGGGUCUCAAAAAUACCAAAUCACGUCCCAAAACAACAACCAAACCAUGUACUUGCUUGCCUAGUCGAAAUGUUUUCAACAGGGCACAAGCUUUAAGUACAGAAGAUAAGGGGGCGAAGGAGGAUGAAGAGAGUAUAUUCAUAUGCAUUGUAGGGUUAGGUGUCUAGCGAAGUAGUCUUUUUUUUUUUUUUUGGCAUUGCAUGGGCCAAGAAUUAAUUGAUAGAAGAAAUUGUUGUCCUGUAAGUAAUUCUUGAAUUAAUUGAAUUGUGAAGGACAUAAACGUGGGAAGCAAUAAGAGAGCAACAUAUCACGUUUAAUGGAAGCCACAUGCUAUGUCUCAUCUUCCUUACUAAAUGGAAAUGAAAUUGACACCCAAAAUGAACAUAUCCUUCCAACGCAUUCAGAACGCCACCAAAAUUUUUCAAGAAGAAUUGAAAUUGUUAUCCUUUCCAGAUUUCUCUAGUAACAUAUGAUAGACUUGAUGAAUCAAAUUGCUUAUGACUUUGUUUUCAUUUUUUGUCUGAUUAGUAAAUAAAUAAAUAAGAUAGAAAAAUAGAUUCUGUGAGAUUUUAUUAUCUUGGUGUUUUCAUCCAAAUACUUUCUUUAAGUCUUGUCCGAAGCUUUAGAGCUUAGGCCAAUCUUCACUAGUGUUCCCACAUCUCAGUAAGUAUUAUUUUAAAUUCUGGAAAGAUGAAUUAGACUUGUCUGUUUUAAGAAAAGGGAGAAAUAUUUAAAAGUAGAAGCGUAAAAUACAAUUAGUUGCUUCGAACCUUUAAGGCAUUUUUGUUCUACUCUUUUUUUUCUGUGAAUGACCAAAGUGCACGUGCCUGGAACUUUCCCUUUCUCAAUCCGAGUACGAAUAGUACUAGUUGGUUUUAAAUCCAGUACAUGGUAAAAUCAGAUUUAAUGUUUUGUAUCUGCAUAGUUCUUAAUUGCUUGCUUCUAGUAAAAUGCUAGUUUUAUUUUUAUUUUUAAAUUUUGUUUAUUGGCUUGAUUGUAGGUUCGACAUUUAAUAUGUCAAGUUCUUUGCCCACACCACACUUAAUGGAUGAUGAAGGCAAUCAAACUCAAGGUGAAUCAGCCGCCAGUGUUACUCAUGGUGGGUUGCGACGUAGAGGAAGGUUGAGAUCAAUUGUAUGGGAGCAUUUCGAGAAGAAAAAAAUUAACUUUAUUGAUAAGGCUGUCUGCAACUAUUGUAAAAAUGCAUUGGUAGCAAGGAGUAGUGAUGGAACAAAGCACUUGCACGAUCAUUUGAAGACAUGUCAAGUGAAAAAGGAAAUAGAGGCCACAGAAUUCCCACCGGCAAAGAAAGCUGCUGGUGAAAAAGGGAAGAAUGCAGUAGAAACUCAUUUUGAUCCUAAUGUUACGAGGAGAAAAAUGGCACGUGCUAUUGUCAUGCAUGAGCACCCUCUGAGCAUUGUAGAGCAUCAAGGUCUGAGGGAUGUUAUGUCUUCUCUAAAUCAAUUGUGGAAGCCGGUGUCUCGAAAUACUAUCAAGAAGGAGAUUUUAGACAUGUAUGAGUGUGAAAGGGCCAAAUAUAUCAGUGUAUUGGAGCAAACUCAAGAUAGAAUUGCCAUUACAACUGAUAUGUGGACUGCAGAAAAUCAAACAAAAGCAUAUAUGGCAAUCACUGCAUACUUUAUUGACGAUGCUUGGGCAUUACGGAGCAUACUUUUGAGGUAAAAUUCUUACUGUUAUGAUUUUUUUAAUUAUUAGUGAUCAAUCUGAUUUUUUUUUAAUUGUUAAUGAUCAAUUUGAUUUUUUUUAAUUGUUAAUGAUCUUUUUUUUUUUUAGCUUUUUGGAAGUGCCUGGUUCUCACACAGGCCAAGUGCUUUGUGAUAAGCUGAUGGGUUCGUUAUUGGAGCUCAACAUUGAGCGUAAGUUAUCCUCCAUAAUUGUUGACAAUGCUGCUACUAAUGAUCGUAUGAUUGAUUUUAUGUUGUUGGCACUAGAUAAAAAUGAUCUCAUUUUGGGUGGACAAAAGUUUCAUGUUCGUUGUUGUGCCCACAUUCUAAAUUUGAUUGUAAAGGAUGGUUUAAGUGUGAUUGGUGAUCUAAUUGCAAACAAUUAGAUAGGAGGAGAAGAAUGGUCGAACCAACUGUUGUGAAUUAGUGAUGCCACCAAGGAUGUUUUUAGUUCAAAAUUCAUCCCAUUCUCAGAUUUUCUUUCCUGGGCACUCAAGCCAAGUUACACAGAGGAGCUUCAGUAAUGAAAAGGUACUUCUGUUAUAGUAUAUUAGGAAAAUGAUAAAGAGCCUAAAGAUAAGAUCACACAAUGAUGAUAAAAAAAUUGCUGGACCUGUGCAGGGUUACACUGUUAGUUAAAUUAACAUUAUAAUCCCAUAUUAGUUUAAUGUUAUUUUUCUCGUCAUUGUGUCCCAUUUUUUUAAUUCAAAUAUCAGUGCUUAGCUCAUUAUUGAUGAGCAUUGAUAUUUGAAUUAAAGAAUCGAACACAAUGGCGAUAAAAACAACUUUGCACUUCGCUGGAGUUAUAGUCUUAAUCGAAUUUUUUUAAUAUUUUCCAAUUAAUACUUUAAAUCUAACCAAACGUAAUGCUGUUUUUGUCAUCAUUCUCUCAUCCUUAAGGCUCUUAUCAUUUUCUUUCUUAAUAGAUGUACGAUGACAAAGUUACUUCAUUUUCUGCCAUUGAUCUAUUUUAUUUUUGGGCUUCUAUUUUGUUGGAGAUGGCUAGGUCAUUAUAUAUAUUUAUAUCAAUUGAAUUUACCCAAAGUUUUUUUUUCCUUCUAUUUAAUAACCUCGAGGAAUAAGGGACUUUUAUUAAAAUUUAAUAAAGAAACUAAAUAUCAAAAAAUAUAUAUAAAAAGAGAAAAUAGGGAUAUCAAAUACCUAAUGUAGAGGAAUAAUGAAAUUAAAAUUAUUGGGUGCUUUAGGAGUAUGUUAAUUUUACACCCCUUCCCAAGUUUAUUUUAACCAAGGAUGAUUAAUUGAUGUUGUAAUUAAAGCAUCAAUACGUAUUUAAAUAUGAAUUGUGUAAACGAAACAUAAGAAAUGUAAAUUUAGUAUAAAACUUAUAAAUUAACAUUAAAUGUAAAAUAAAACAUAAAUUAUGUAAAUGAAGUAUAAAACUUGUAAAUAAAAAAUAAAAGUGGUAAAUUAACAUAGGAGUGAUAAAUUGGUGUAUCGAUGGUAAAUAAAACAAAAUCUUUAAAAUAUAAUAUAAAACUUAUAAUCAACAAUAAGUGUCAAAUAUUAAAACAUAAAUUAAGUCAAUAAAACAUAAGAUUGAUAAAUGUGAGGUAAACAAAUAAAUUAACAUAAGAUUGGUAAAAUGAUGUCUUAUUUGUAAACAAAACAAAAGUUAUAAAUGCAAUAUAAAAUUGUAUUGGUUUUAUUUGAUUACUAAAUUAUUUUCCUUUCCUAGGAGGUUUGGUUUAUGUCCCCCUCCUUAUGUUCUAUCAUUGAUUGAUUUAUUUACAGGUAGGGGUCCGGUCUAACCCCCCACCUUCUUGGUGGAUUUUCAAAAAAAAAAAAUACAAUAUAAAACUUUUGAUCAACGUUAAGUAUAAAAUAAAACAUAAAUUCUGUAAAUGGAAUAUAAAACUUGUAAAUAAAAGGUAAAAUAAAUAAAUUAACUUAAGAGUAGUAAAUUGAUAUAUUAUUGGUAAAUUUUUUUUUAAAAAGCUUACCAAUAUAAUAUAAAACUUGUGAAUUAACAUUAAGUGUAAAAUUAAACAUCAGUUGUGUAAGUAGAACAUAAGACUUGUAAAUAAAUGUUAAAAGAAGUAAAUUAACAUAAGAAUGGUAAAAUGAUAUGUUAUUUAUAAACAAAAUAAAAUGUUAUAACAUAAAACUUCUAACCAACAUUAAGUAUAAAAUAAAAGAUAAGUUAUGUAAAUGGAACAUAAGACUUGAAAGUAGAAGGUAAAAUAAGUAAAUUAAUAUAAGAAUAGUAAAUUGGUAUAGUAUAUUGUUAAAAAAAAUAGAAAUAUAAUAUAAAACUUGUAAGUCAAUAACAAGUGUAAAAUAUAACAUUAAUUAAGUAUAUGAAACAUAAAAUUUUUAAAUAGAAAGUAAAAUAAGUAAAUUAAUAUAAGAAUUAUUAAGAAAUAAAAACUUACGAAAACAAGAACUCAUUAUAAUAAUGAUUACCUUAUAAAUUUUCUGGUUUUGUUUCUAAAUUGAAGAAUGAUAGUUUUAGGUUUAUGUAAUACAUGUAAUGAUAUAUGUGAAAUUUUAUGAAGGAUAAAACAUAUCCUCAAAAUAAGAUUUUAAAAAACUAUUAUUUUCAUGUUUUCAAAGUUGUUCGUAAGAUAAGGUAUUUUGCAUCCUUCUAGACCUCGAUGGUAAUCCCAAAUGAUCUUUGAGUACACCUAAAAGGGUAAAGUUUAAAAUUACAUGAAGUAGUAUAAAAUAUAAUAAAAUUAUAUUCAAAUUUAUUGAUAUAUCAUAUAUAUCUACGAAUUUAAGAAUGUAUUAUUAUUAUUUUUUAGGUUGAUUCACAUGAAGAAUUUUUUUUUACGUAUUUAACCUAUGUAGAAGACAACAUCAUGAUAGAAAAUAUGAAUAUAGAAUUUAUGGUUAAACAAAUUCAACAUAACUUAUUCCAAUUAUUUUCAAAAUAAAAUUUAAUGGAUGAGUGACUUUUUUCUUUGUUUAAUUAAAUUAAGUGAAUAAACUAUUUUUUGUUUAAUUAAAGUUUAAUAUUGGUUUACAGGUUUUAUAUUAUUUUUACAAGUGUUUGAAUUGUUUGUAAUUUAAAACAACAAUUUACUAUUUUUAUAUUAAUUUACUCAUUUUACCUAUCAUUUACUAAUUUUAUGUGUAAUUUACAAAAUUUAUAUGUAUCACGAUAUUAAUAUCGUAAUUUUAAUUAUAGCGUCAUAAAAUUUUCCUUUAAUUAUUAAUUAUGAUUUUUAUACACAGCAAGUAGUGGGUGGAUAAAAAAUAGUGCUUUUUUUAUAAAUUAGUUGAUUUUUUUUUCAUAAAUUUCCUACACCACAACAAAAUCUUAAUUUGUAGCCAACGAACUAGUUGAGUCAUGACAUGCAUUAAAAAAAUAUAAAUGUUAUAUAUAAUUUCAUUAAAUUAAUUAGUUCAUUUAAUGUAUAACAAAUAAAUGUUGAAUUCAUUGAAUGCCUUUAUAUUAAUUAUUUUAUGCCGCUUCAUAAUUUUUGUAGUGCCUUAAUGGAGGAAACCAAAAUAUAUAUGCAGCAUCAUGUGAUUGACAAGAUGUUCAGGGUAAACUUAUCUGCCUUUGUUGUUAUUGGUACGUUGCAAAUGCCUUCUUUUCAAUUUAAUUUUCUUCCAAUUCUGAGACUUUGAUUCGUCAAAAUGCAUGGCAUCAUUCACCAUUUUUUUGGCUUGAUUAACAAUACCUUUUUGUUCUUCUACUGCUAACUGUAGAAUCUAUAUUAAAACGUUCUGCUGAUUGUUUUCUCUAUAUUAAAAAUAUGGAGAUUCAAUUCCAUAUUUUUAAUAAAUAUUCAUAAUGUUUGUGUGUGUUUGUGUGUUUGUUUUCAAUUAAUAAAAAUAUGGGUUGGUUGCUUUUUGAUUAACAGUAAUCAUGUGUGCUAAACCUUGCAUCGACUAUCAUUGUAAUGAGUUACAUAGAUAUCAGUGUAAUCUUGGAGUAAUGAUCUUGUGGGCGAACAUGAUUCUCGCCUUAUGGUGAGUAGCAGUGCCACAUGGCGAUGUCCGGUCUGCAUGUCCAGUGCUAAAUAAUCUAGAGAAUUUUUUUUCUUAUUUUUAUUUUUGUUAUUUUUAUUUGUCAUUAUUGGGUGCUUGUACAGCUGCUCUAUGGGUGUUGCUUUACCAGUGUACUCAACAUUCAAGGCAAUUGAGAGGAAAGAUGAAUAUGAGCAACAAAAGUGGUUCAUGUAUUGGGCAGGUUGGAAUUUAUUUUUAUUUUUAUAAUUUAUUAUUAUUAUUUUUGUUAGGCUUGUCGCCUUGCUUGUUUUGUUAAUGAGGUUUUCAUGGACUCCCAAAUUUCCUCUGUAUCCAUUAUUUUUAGCCCAAGUGUUUUCCUGUUAGAUGCUUUGAUCAGUUGGCCAAAAAAAUUGAAUAUUACCUUUAUGGUUAUAGUUAUGCUGAGAUCUUGCAUGGUCGAAAAUAUAUAGCUCUACUAUUCAUGAUGACCAUCAAUGAUGAAAGUAACAAAUGUGCAGAAAUUAUUAUCAUAUGUUGAUAAAUUUUGUAAUUAAUAAAAGAUAAGGCUGGUAUGAUCUGAGGAUAUAUAUCUGGCAUUGGUGCUUGCGCUUGAUGAACUUUUGAUAGUACUUGUCCUACUGACUAUUUGCAGCUUAUGGAACUUUUAGCAUUGCUGAGGUUUUUGCAGCAAGUUUCUUACUUGGUAAAGUUUUUUAGUACUAGUGAUUUCUGCCUUUUGCUUGUGUAGUAAGUAUUUAUCAUAUAUUUUUCGAAAAGAUAAGCAAGUGUAUAUCUUUUCCCAUGCAUAUACGCACGACGCUUAAUUAUCUAUGCCUAAUUGAUGUUACUGCCUUAUCUUGUUUCAUCAUUUCAGGUUUCCCAUGUAUUAUCACCUGAAAUUUGCAUUUCUUGUAUGGCUUUAGCUUCCAUCUACUGAUGUAAGUUUAAAAAUAACGCUUGUAACUUUGGAUCAUAUUGAAAAAAUGGGGAAGUGUACUUGUAUUUAUAUUUAUUUGUGAUGAAAAUUAAUGUAGCUUAAUAUGUUUAACUUUUGACUUCAAGUUAACUCAUGGUGAUAAACUUCCUUAUUUCUUGUUAGGGGGCAAGGCAGUUGUACGAGAACUACUUGAGUCCAUUCUUGUUGAGGUGUCAAGCUAAAGCUGAUCAACUCAGGGCCACUACACACGCUAAAUUUGAUCAACUCAGGGCCAUUACACAAGCUAAGGUGGAUCAACUCAGGGCCAUCACACUGCGUCCAUUCUUGUUGAUGUGUCAAGCUAAAAUUGAUCAACUGAGGGCCAUUGAAGACAUGGUAUGUUAGGUAGUGUUGUUAUCAUAUUAUGGGUGAUACUAGUUUGACUUAUCUGUUUGAUUGAAUGAUAAUGUGGUACUCCUCAUAUUCUCAAGAAUAUACAGAAAGUUGAAACCUCUGAGCAGAGUUCGAUUUUCGCUUCCAUUGCGAAAUUGUAACUUGUGGUAAAUAAGGCACUUUAAAAUUGUUUAUAUUGGGUUAACCUCAACCCAUAGAUACCCUGUGCAAGUCUUGCUGUAUUGCACUCAACACUUCCCCUGUUGUUUCCGAUGAAGUAUAUGCUCUGCUAAAAUUUACAGGUUGGACGUAUCAGCUCAAUCAAGGCAGAAAUUAAAUGUGGGGGGGAUACAUUCUUUGCAUUUUUCUGCUCAGGUAAUGGUAAAUACCUUUCUUUUGGUGCAUGCUUGUCUUGUUAGUUCAGUGAUUUCCAUGUAGAUUCGAAGUAUUUUACUUGUUUCUGGACCAGCUCCAAAAUAUAGAUCCAAAUAAACCUGAAGGACGAAAUGCGGUUGAAGACCUGGAUGGAAUAACCUCAGACACAGACACUGAGUCUGAUCUUGAGGUUGAGGAGACUUUGAUCAUGCAUGUCAGUUUCGGCAAAUUGAGUUACUCUUGCUAUGAACCGAGACCCUAUGGUAGGAUUUCCAAAUCGUAUCUGCUCGAAUAAUCAAGGCUUCUUUGCCACCUAAAUGGGACGGCAUGAACAUACGUUAUCCCUUAGUAUUAUCUCUUUACAAUCUCAAAAAUCUUUUGGUCAUCUGCAUUUGUAAGGCGUACUUGUGGUAGUUCAUUCCCAGAAUUUAUCUUUUGAUGUAGUGGUUGGUUUGUGGUAAAAAGUUUGAGAUUCAGUGGACAUGGUAUUGUAAAUUUUCAAUUACGAACUGCACCUGGUAGAAAUCAACUAUGUUUUUGUAUGGAUUCUCGAAGUUUCAGAUUUUAACAUCCGAUAUUAAUAAUCUUAAGUUAAUUAAGAUAGUCAUUGGUCUUUAAUUCUCAAUCUAAAACCAGUAGAAACGGUCUGUUUAUAUUUUCCCACGUGGUAUGAAAAAUAUUACUGAAAUUGGUGUGCAUGUUUUGGAUGAACCAUAUGUACUUUUUCUUCUAAGAAAAUCUUGAUAUUCAAUGAUUGUGAUAAAUUAUUUGAUUUUGUAUUAACUGAAACUUUCAUAUUCUUAUCCUGCUGAUAGUGGAUUGUAUAUAAUACAGUAGAUUUUCUUUACUGUAGAUUUGAGGAAAAUGUACAAUCAUGUAUUGAAGUUUGCGAAAGAUAUCAAAGUUAACUUGAGUUUACAUCUGUUACACUAUGGAUAAUAUGCAUGAUAUCACGAUAUCGUUCACAUCUUACAAUAUUAUUUCGGAACCGGUGCUUAACAGGUUCCGUUCCACCAGAAUUUUGUGACUCUCCAUCUUCAAGUAUUUUAUUUGGAAAAUAACAAGCUUCAGGUUCCAUCCCUGAGAGCUUAGGUCGUUUCGGUUGUUUGAAAAAGUUGAAUUUGGCUAGGAAUAAGUUAUCUGGCUCAAUUCCAACUAGUUUUGGGAACUUGAAAUAGCUUACAAACCCACAUAGAUUUAAGCUAUAAUGAGCUUGCUGGUGAGCUUAAUCCUUUGUUUUUGAAGCCCCACCAAGCUCAAAAUGUGUGACAAAGAACAAGUAUUAAACUCACCAUCGAACUCAUUAUAACUAAAAUACAAGUGGGUACGAAAGCCCUUCCGACUAGUUUGCACCAAGCCAAAAAAUAUGCUUACAUUUCUCUAAUUUGCUGAUCAUCAUCACCACCUCCAUCAAAGUCAUCAUCUGAUCUUGAUGAUCCUUCUCCUGCUGCUCCACUGCCUUCAUCUCCUUCCCCAACCUCAUUAUUCAUCGCCACCGCAGCGUCCGUGUCCCGGAAUACUCCAGCCUGCUAAUGAUAAUUAAUAAUUCGUCAAGAACACAACACCCACACCAACAAAAAUGAAAUAAACUACUAAAAAAUAACAUAGCAAAGCAAAUAACGGAAAAAUAAAAUAAAAUAACACAAUAAAGUAUUUAGGAUUUUGGAGUUAUACAAGGCUUAGAGAGAGCGCAGGAGAGGCAAAAAAGUCUUUGGUGCGACGAGUGGGUGGCUUGCUACACGCGGACGCCCCCAUAGCAAUGAGAAAACCAAGAAAAAAAAAAGUUGUUGUCUUGAGAGGGUUGAUGAAAUGGUUCUUGUGAGCAAAAAUGGUGGCAUGUUGAAGUGGGGUGAGCUUUGAUUUAAGGACGUCAAUUAUCAAACAAAACAGAAUGAAGUCUAAAAACACAUUAAAAGAAAAGGAAUUGCUGUGUUUGUGUGAGAGAGAAAAAGAGAGUGUAUGUAUUUGUUUGUUUUAUUGAGAAACGAAAUGAUGAAAAAGGGUGUUAGGAGUUGACUGUUAGAAAUUCUGUGUGAAAAUGUGAGGAUUCAAGUCCCUCAACCAACUUUUGAAGGAUAUAUUAAUUAACACUAGCUAAUUGAAAUUUGAAAGUAUUCAAAUUAGUGUCAAAAUUACAUAUCCACCAAUAUUGCAAUUUGCAAUACUCAACUGAAAAUAGUUUUAUAGGAAAAAAUAGCAUUAACAUAAAUUUUGUUCUGUAUAUAGGUAAAAAGAAAUAUAUUUCAAACUCCAGUUAAUUUUAUAUGUAGAAAUAUGAUAAAGAUUAAAUUUUCAUCCAUUUGAUAAUUAAGAAUAUAUCUAACUAAUUAAGAAUGCUUUAACAAAUCAACGGAUAGCAUAGUCAAUAAAAUCAAAAUUAUAUACUUGUUGAGUUGAUUGAUUAUUUUUUUCCGAAGUAAUUAACUCAAAAUCUUGAAAGUUUCUUUAUACCUAAUGAAGAAAUAUGGUAUCCAACAUUGCUAGGCGGUGGUUUUAGGCUUUACAGAAGUUAAAAUUGUAGAAAUGAAAGUAUCUUUUUUGCCUAAAUUUUUACUCUCAUAAGGGACUUUUACUCUAUUCACAUUUCAUAAAGGGAAGACAAUAAAUAAUUGAAUAAGAGAUUUAACCUCAAAAUAUUAUGUAGAAACUCAAACUGUUGUUCUCAUAAUUGUUUAUGAGGCCACUCGGCCUUUUGUCUGAGUGAUUGCAUUAAUGGCAUUAAAUUGCAUAGAACGUAGGAAAUUGAUCCACCACCAUCUAAUUAUAACAUCACAAAUAAAUAAAAGUAAAGAUGAAAUGGAAAUUAAUUGGAGCUUUUACCUUGUUGCUAUACUUGGUAAUGUCCACCUGAUUUAUGAUCCCGAUUAGAAUGCCUAAAAUUACUGCUUUCUUUUUCUUGAUUGUAUCAUCAUCACUUUUGUGAAAUUUUAAAAUUAAAAAAAAAAAUGAGGGACGCUGGGUCAAUCGCUCUUUAAACAACUCGAUUGGACACGCGUUUACUACAUUAUUUUUUUAUUUUAUUCAUAAGUGAUUAUUCACUAACUACUUAUUUUUUUCACACAUGUUUAAAAAUGCACAAACUUUUUUUUUUCAGAAAAUUCUCCUCGAAGUUGACAUUAUUUUCACUCGUCCAUUGUGGCCUAAACUCUAUUAGAAAUUUGUUAACGUCAUAAGGGUAAAAUUAUCAUUUAAUUUUAACAAAUAAAAACGACCACAAAUCAAAUAAAAAACUCGAUGCCACAAAUUAUCAAAAUGUAAAUCCAUUAAUUCAACUGAAAGAAAAAUGCUCAGCCUUAACCCUAACUCUAAUAGCCACACACUAUCAAAAUCAAAAUGAAAUUUUAUUUAAUUUUUAAUCAAAUAAUAACAAAAAGAUGCAUCACUGGUGAACAGUAGCUAGUGCCGGUGGCGUGGUGUGGCAAGGCGCGGGGAUGUCAGGAAUGGGGUUGCCGAAUCUACUCGAUCCUGCGUUCGGUGAUGUCACGCAGUGGCAAGAUAGCUGAUCGUGAUUAAAGUUGGUAAUGAGUGAAAGACAAGAGAAGAGGCUACAAAUUUUAUUUGACUGAGAAGAGAAGGUAAUGAAUUUUUUUUUUUCCAGAAAGAAGAGGUGAGACUAAAAUUUUUGUUGGAGGCUGACCAUUAAAAAAAGAAAAGAGAGACAGAGAGACAGAGAGAAGAAGAAGCUGAAUUUGGUGCAAGUGAGUAAGAAGACUGGUUUUAUUUUGAAUGAGAUUGAAGAUAAGCUUUGUGCCUUGCUGCUGCUGAUGCUUUUUUUUUUUUUGUUUCCUUCGUUCUUCUUCUCUACUACUACUUUUUUUUUGAGAAAGUAAGCCUUUCCAUUGAUUAAAACUGGAGAAUAACAUCCACAGCGGGAACUGGGUAGUUUCCUAUCCAAAGGACAGGGUCUACACGAUCUAAAGCUACCUUUGCCAAGUUAUGAGCCAUGACAUUACACCUUCUUGGUACAAAAAGAACAGAUGCCGUGUUCUGCCCUUUUAAACAUUCCUGAAUUUCUUCUAUGUUCCAUGAUAUUUCAGCUAAGCUGCUCUUCCUUUUCAGAACAAGCUCCACAACUUCUUUAGAGUCUGAUUCAAUAACAAAAUGGGCACAAUUUGCUUCUCUACUACUACUACUUUGCCUAAAUUCUUUUAAUUUUUUUGUUUAGUGUUUGGUUUUGAUUUGGAUAUUGGAUUGAGUUUGGGAUUAGGUUUGGGUUUUAAUUCUUUUAAUUAUUUUCAUUUUUAAUUUUGGUUAUUUUGUUGAGUAAUGAUAUAGCCACAAACUCUUGUACAAAUUUAUUUUGUACAAACUGAUGUGGCAUAAUAAGAUUAGUUGAAUUAAAUAUCACUUAGCCCACAUGAUUUGUUUUUAUUAUUUUAUAUUUUCAUUCAACCAAUGAAUUAAUGUCACGCCAGUUUGUACAAAAUAAAUUUGUACAAGAGUUUGUGGCUGUAUCAUUACUCUAUUUUGUUUCAUUUAUUAUAAUUUUGAUUAUUUUUAUUUUUUAUUUAAUAUAUAAAUUGUAAAUAAUAACCAAAGUCAUCUAAUACUUUUGUCAUUUAGCUCGGUGAAAUAGUAAUUUUACAUUAAAGGAUCAAAACAAUCAUUAUAUUAAUAUUAUGUUAAAUUCUCUCACGGACAUUAGACGAUAGUAAAAUAAUGAUAUAUUUUGUAAACUUUCCAUUGAAUUCUGUAAAAAUAAAAGAUUUAUAUAUAUUUUUUUAAAUUUAAAAAAUGGAUGAUCGGUGGAUAUUGCCCUUUUAUUUAUCAAGCACAUGUGUCAUGUCUUGUCUUUUAAAUUUAAUGCUUUCUUUUAUUUUUUUUAUUACCCAAUUUGUUCAAAACAAUUACAGUUAUGCCACUUGUUCAAUUUAUAUAAUUUUAGAAUAUUACCUUUAAGUUAACAAAAUUAUCUAAAUUUUUAUUAGGAUUCGGGAUCUCGUCCUGAACCAUAUAGAGUUCAAUUCAGUAUCAUUUUUUAAAAAAUUGAUUUAAAAUUAGUUGAGAUUUAAUAGAAAAUUUUAUCCCAAUUUAUUAUUUAGAAUAUCUGGAAAUAUCAAUCAAAAAUCUUGAUUGCCUUGACUAUUAUUUUAAUUUUUAAUUAACUAAAUUAAAAAAUCAUUUAUCUUAAAAAUAAACAAAAAUAAUUGACCCAAGCAUAAACCCAACAAAUUCACAACUUUGCAUUCACUUUUAAAGUUUGUUUAUUUAUUAUUUAUUUUUUAACGACAUUUAGUUUUAAAGUUUAAUUAAACUAAACAGAUGAAGAAGAAAAUAAAUUAGUUUGUUGAUUUACAUAUUAAAUUUUAGAUAAUGAAUGGAUAAAAUCGGGACGUUGGCAUUUAGAAUCGCAACUUGCAACAUAAAGCAAGAAGAGUGUGUGCGUAACAAGCUUAACCAUUUCUCUCUUAUAUACAUAUUUAUUAGGAUGAGUUGAGACUUGAUAUUUUUUUCCCUCUCUCUCUUAAAAUAACUUGUUUUUCAAUUUUUAAUCAGGUAUAUAUAAGAACCACGUUGGUCUUGGGAUUUGAACGAAUUAUCUUUAGUUCAAAUGAAAGAUAACAAAUUAACUUUUCAAACAAAAAAAAAAUCAUAACAAAUUAUUAUACAAGCCAAAAAAAAUUUAUUCACGAUCAACUCUUAUUAUUAUAUCAGCAAGUUACUAAAGGAUUAUAUUUCUUUUUUCUUUUUUUGGUCUGAACCACGAGGUGGUCCUGAGUGGGCCCCAACUGUAAGAGGCAACUUUAAGCCCGUACCACAACUUAGACUAAUCCUCACUCGCACCAGGUCGGUCCGUAAAGGGUAAAGUACUGGCCAAAGUGGUGACUCCAUACGAGAACGGGGCUUGAAUCACUGACCUCUCUUAAGAAGUGAAAGUGUCAAACCACUUACACCAACCAACUUUGGUUUAUAACACUUGUAAUAAUUCAAAUUAUUUCAGUCACGAUAAUUACGAUGAUUUUUUCAUUUGCUCGAUGGCAUGGGGCAAUUGCUGGAUACGAAAAGGCCCAGCAAUCAAGCCCAACAGCAAAAGGACCAAACGGAAGCUCAAUACUGUUUCUACUCUUGACACACAAGACACAGCAAACGGCAUCUUCUUCAAGCAAGACUUAUUAACACAUUUAUUAAUUUUAUUUCUUUUAAUUUCAAUAAAAAAUUUGAUAACAAAAUAGCUAAUUUGAGAAAUAUGGUCAAGGAGUGUGUACAAAUUUAAAAAAAAUAAUAAAAUAAUAAUAAUUUUCAUAAAUUUAUUAAUUGUAUUUUCUAAUUAAAAAAAGAUAUUUUUAUGUCUAUAUAAUAUAUAUGAGGUUAUACGUGGAACUGUAUGAAAGAUCAAACUUUUCAAUAUUAAAUUUUACUAAAAAUAUAGUAUAGCAUUAGGUGAUUUUCACCUAAGAAUUUUUUUUAAAAAAAUAACCAAACAUCAUAAUUAGUUUUAAACUUCUCAAAAUUUCUUUUGAACCUCUCAUUUGCUUCUCAAAAUAACUUCUUAUUUGUCGACAUAAAGGAAUAAUGCGAAAGUGCCUCUAUUGUAAAUUAAAUUAUUAUUAUUAUUGUAGUGGUUAUAAAACUUUAUUUCUUGUUAUACUCAUGAUACACUCAUAAAUCACAGCUUAUAAUGAUUCGGGUGGGAUACAAAAACAAAAACCUUUAGGACAGAUUUGUUUGUUUUCAUUUUUACAACAAAAUCCAUUUUUAGAUGGACAAUCCCUCACACAAUCAGAAUCUUGGGUGCAACGAAUUGGUAACCCUCCAGUGUAGGCUUCAGCACUUGGUAACUCAAAGAUUGUGGUGCCUUGCAAAUUGAGAUCAAUAAUUCAUGAUUAUAGAGAAAUGAAAUAAAAAGCGAAAUGUGUUAGUAAUUAGCAAAAAAAUAUACAAAGAGAGAGAGAUAUUUGGGACAUUGACUAACCAUAUGCAGCGAUCAUGAGAACGACCAAGAAAGUUAGUUUAAACGAGACUUUCUCCAUUUGCUGUAAGAAAAAGAUUAUGCAGGAUGUUUCUUUGAGUGGGAAAAAAAAAUCUAAAAAAAUUGUAUGCAAGAACUUUGUUCUUCACCUAAUAGUUAUAGAGAUGUAAUAUACAAAUGGUAAAAUGGCACACCCAACUUCUAAGUUAUUUUAUAGAAAAAUCACAACAAAUCAAAUAAACUUGCAACCAAUUAAUAUUCAAAUCAUUAAACCUAGCCCAAUAGGAAACAAUAAAAAAAGGAAAAAAAUAAUUUUUUUCAUUUUUUUUCCAGCUUCGCAUUAACAGCGCAGACACAUUUUCCGUUGUUGAUAAAAUCUCCAUCCAUCUUAGUUCAUAAAUUUAAUUGCAUCAUUACAAUCUCUCAAUCAACAUCUACACAGUACAUGUAAGUUGAUGAUCCCACUAUUAAUUCCAUUUCACGUUGAUUAGGGUAAAAAAAAAAAAGGAAGUUUUCUUGUAUUCAUGUAAUUUCUAUAAUCUCUUAAAAAUACCAUAUAAAGUAGGUCUAUUUUGCUAUUAACUAAAUAUCCCAGAUUUUGUAUUAUUGAAUCCAUUUAUUGCCUUAAGGCUAUAUAUAUGUAUAUUUUUUAACUUUGCUUUGAACUCAUCUCGUGCCAUUGAGUUUUUGACUUUCUUCUGUUUAUUGCUACCAUUUUUAAAUAAAAAAAUUGAUUCAAUCGAUGGACUUAUUAAUAAUUGAUCAACUUAAUUUCAUUUAAUUGAUCAACCUAGUUUUCUUUCAUUAACGUUUUAUAGCAUGAUUCAUUCGUGAUAUAUAUUUACAACAUUUUUUUUUAUGUGUCCUUUGCUUCAAUUCACUCAUAAUAAAUCUUAAAACCAUUAACGACCAUCGUGAUUUAACUAUAAUAGUCUGAAAACAAUUUGAAAAAAAAAAUAACUCUAUGGAUAAUUCAAUUUUAAGUGUAUUAUCAGACAAAUCAUUGCACUAACAAUUUCGAUUGUUUGCUUGCAAAAGUAAAAUAUGCAUUUGUAUAUCUGGUUUUGCAAUAAGAAAAAAUGUCAAAAGGUACCCCAAUUUUUUCUUUCAAGUUUCAAGUUAAUUAUAUGGUUGCUAAGUGAAUUAAAAAAGUAACCUCAUUGGCCUCUCUUAUAAUAUGGAUGUCUUUUGAAUUAUCUUAAUUUAGAAUUUAUUGACAUACACUAAUUGAUAAUUAACUUUUUUGUUCUCAUCAGUGAUCUUCUUCUUUAUGCUUCACCAAUGGUGACAACAUUUUAAAUCAAUGAGAUAUUCAUUAUAUUAGCAGAAAUUACGAGGGAUCUUAACGAGAAUAUUAGAAUAACCCCAAAAUAAUAAAAAAAGGAUGAUUGUGGCUUGAAGACUGGUUCUCGCCACAAGUUGGGCUGGUUUAUGCUCAGUCCACGGCCAUAACAUCCUAGGAAAAGUUGAAUAAAUAAUAUUUUGUGAGUUCUUGAUGGAGCGAUGGUAGCGGAAGUAAAAUUGAUUGGGUAAGAAAAAACGAAAGUGGAGUUGAUAGGAUAGAAAACACUAAAUAUCAUUCUAAUACUUGACUAAGCCAACGCGAUUAGGUUACGCUUUAAUCAAAGCAUGAUUAGAUAUCAUUUUAAUCCAAACGACUCAAUAAGAUUUUUAAUAACGCUUAAAGCGAGAUUAUAUGAUGCUUUAAUCCAAACAACUCUACAAGAGAGAUUUUGAUAGAUAAUUCCAGAGGAAAUUAUAAAAGAGGAAAUUUUAUUAAAUAAUUGAAUAUGAAGUUAUGAAAAUAAUAACAAGACCUCUCUAUUUAUAAUAGAGUAAAUUCACUUCCCUAAGUUAACUUACAAAAAAGGGAAACUGAAUCGCAAUUAUAAUGGAAAUAAAAUAUACUUUCCCUAAGUUAACUAAAUCCCAUGCCUUAAUUGACUCUAAUAAAAAUAGAAAGUUCUAAAGUAAUAAAAUACCAUAAUUGACUCUAACUAAAAUAGAAAUCCUAAAAUAAUGAAAUUCUAAAAUCUUAAAAUUUCUAAAAUAACGUCCUACAUUAGUUCUAGUUGAUAUUGUUAAUUUUGCAGAAAAAUAUUUUUUAGAGAAAUUUUUAACCUACCCCCAAAUAAAUUGACAUUUUGCACCGCGUUCCCAAAAAAUUUGACUUAUUGCACCGCACCCCCAAUUCCAUUAUUUUCUCAGUUAAGUGUAACGGUGGAGGGGUAAAAUUGGAAGUUCAUUCCUUAAAUUAAUUUUAAUGGGAAUUCUCUUUAUUGCAAUUGAAAUAAAAAUCUAUAAAAAAUUAAAGGAAAAAUAAUAGUGGUGACAAUGUACAUGUAACAAGAAAUUUUUUUUAUUGCAAUUGAAAUAAAAAUCUUAAAAAAAUAAAAAUCUUAAAAGAAUUAAAGGGAAAAUAAUAGUGGUGACAAAUGUACAUGUAACAAGAAAUUUUUUUUAUUGCAAUUGAAAUAAAAAUCUUUAAAAAAUUAAAGGAAAAAUAAUAGUGGUGACAAUGUACAUUUAACAAGAAAUUUUUUUAUUGCAAUUGAAAUAAAAACCUUAAAAAAAUUAAAUGAGCUAAAAAUUUUGUUUUUUUUCAUAUAGAGGGGCAUUUUUGUCAUUCAAUCAAAAGUUAGACGGAGCCAUUAGAAAUAACUGAAAAAUUAACGGAAUUGGGGGCGCGGUGCAACACGUCAUUUUUUUUGGGUGCGCGAUGCAAAAUGUCAAUUUAUUUGGGGGUUGGUUAAAAAUUUCCCUAUUUUUUAAGAUAUUAAAAUUCUUCAUAAAUCUUUUAUAGACCUUUCCUCAUUUAGGCCUUCUCGAAAAGCUCGAACUUACAAUCAAACUUUUGCCCCAUUAUAUGACAUAUGUUAGUAAAAUUUAUUUUUACAAAUGAUAAUUCUAUUCACCCCUUUCUUUAUAUUUUGUAAAAGAUCUAAAAUUUUACUCCCAUACUUACGGAAAAAUUCAAACCUUCUAAUGAUAGGCGAUGGUGAUGAUGAGAGAGAAAGAAAAAUAAAAUAAAAAUAAUUAAUAAUAUAAAAUUUUUUAAUUAUAGUAAUUUUAAAAAUAAACAUUUAAUACCCAUAACUAAGACAUCUUUGAGUUGAGUUGGGACCCCAGACAUGGUCAUAGCAGGUAUGAAACCUUUUCAAUUGUUCGGUUCCUUAGUUAGCUCCUCAAACUUCAGAAAGUAUACAUUUCCGAGGAGGUGUCUUCACCUAAAACCAAAUCAACUUAUUUGAGCUCAACAAAAGUGUGCAUCUCCCUCUAAGUAACAUAUAUUUAUAUGGUCUCAACAUACACCUAAUAUUGAAAUUCUUUUCAAAAGCAUCACUUCAUUCGAUGAAAAGCACAUUGGCCAUAGUAUUUGCCGUCUUUUACUAAGCGGGUACCAUCAAGAUCAACCACUACACCACUUUUUAUGCUACUUGAAAGAUGAUUAUAAAUAUUUUAGAGUUCCACAAACUCUAUAAUAUAGAAAUUUAAAUCAGUGCACUACACAUAAAUUUCGUACAGAAAGAAGAUUCAAACAUCUUUAUAAACACAAACUCUCAAGAUGUUUUAGAGUUAAACAAAACUACCAUUUCAUGCCUAGAAAAAAUUUAACAAUUUUUCCCACCAGAGUGGUUAAUACUCAAUACGGAUUUGCUUCAAGUCACCGGAGAGGCUUUUAGAGCAAAUGCAACAAUUUUGGGUUCUAAAAUUUUGCUCUUUAAAGCGUUAUUUUGGCUCAGUGUUUCAAUUAUCAAGAAGAGGUACAAAGAUCAAUGGCUCCUACUAUCCUAGUUUUAGCUUAAUAUUUAUCUCUCAUUUUAAUAAAUAUGGUUGUUUCUUAAAAAUUUAAUUAAGAUCAUUGGCUUUGAGUUACUACUAUAGGAUUCCGAAAAUGAUCAGCAGCCUAUUUCUUCUUCAUCUUCAAAAUCACCCAAAAAACCAAAGUUUGUUCAAAUUUAAAUGUCCCUGCUAUAUUAGUGCUAACGUUUGUCUCAAAAUUGUGCUCGAUUAAUCCUUGACUUCAAAAGGAACAACGAUCUUUUCCUAUUCAUAGUUCCUUUUUUUUUUAACUCAUAUUUUAAUGAUUGGGUAAAAUUGAGUUUUAAAUUUUAAUGUUGAUAAUCAAGCCAGCUUUUUUUUUAUUUACGACUAAGCCAACUUUUUUUAAUUAGAUUUGAAAAAUUAGGAGAGUUUAGGACAGAAAAAAUAAAUUAAGUGAGAAUCCUAAUCCAACUUGGAGACUCAUGUUCAUAAUUGUAGAGAUUGUUCUGCUGCCUUCCACGUAGAAAAAUAUUUACUUGGAUUGAGGCUAGGGAUUUUUUUUCUUCUUAAAAUAUCUUUUAUUUAUUUAUUUUUUAAUCAUAAGUUUGUAAGCAACAUAUAUAAAUCACAUUGGUGUUGGCGUUUGAACAAGUCAUCUUUAGUUUAAAAUUAUAAUAUGAACCGAUAUCUAAAGGUCCUGCUUCUAAAUCAAAUAAAAGCUUAUCCAUAAUUAACCCCCGGCGAUGCCCAAAAACUAUAUGAACAAAUGAUUAUACAAGCAAGUUACUGCAUAAUUAUAUUUCUUAUUCGUGGAUAGCACUUGUAAUAAUUCAACUUGAUUUUCUUUCAAUGACGAUUAUAGCAUGAUUCAGUCAUUCUAUUCACGAUAAAUUUUUAUUUUUUUCGUGUCCUUUUGUACCUUGGCACCAAAGCACAAAGUACAAGGGGCAAUUGUUCCAUAUGAACUUCAUCACCGGCAUGGUUAACAGUAACAUGGCCCAAUAAGCAAGCCCAAGUGCAAAAGGACCAAAGGGAAGCCCAAUAUUAUUUCAGCUCUUAACACUAGGAAAUCAAGCAAGACUCAAUAAAAACACAUUUAUUAAAUAUUAUUUUUUAUUUUAAUUUCUCAAAAGAAUUGAUAACAAAUAGCUAGGUUGAGGAGUAUAUGUGAAUUAAAAAAAACCAUAAUAAUAAUUAUCUUCGUAAAUUUACUGAUAACAUUUUCUAAUUGAAUAAGGGUAUUUUCUAAUUGCUAUUCGGCUUGCACAAUUAUCUUCAACACUUGGUAGGCUUGGUUGCUUGGUCGUUUUGAUUUGUAGACUUGUAAUGGAUUCAGAGAUUUUUGUUCUUUGAAUAGAGGGGUGUUCCUUUCGGGGAAAAAGGGAAAAAAGAAAAAAAGAAAAAAAAGAGCGAUUUUGGCUAAGCAAGGUUGGUGAUUGGUCUUUGAACAUUCUUUGGUAGUUCGGGUGUUGAAAGCUCGAUACUUUAAACACAGUUCUGUUCUUACUGCAAAGCAUGGUCAUAACUGGUGAAGUCUUCUAUGGGGGCAUGGCGUUCUUGAACGAGGUAUUUGGUGAAAUAUUGAGUGUGGGUCACGCAACUCACAAGUGGAUGUCUAUCACGGCAAUUGGAUUCCACUGCUCAAAUAUUUUCGCGCAGUCUCUAGUGCUUCGUUUUGAUACAAAAGUGUCUCCUUGUGCCGAUGGAUGGUAAUCGUAGGAAUGAUUCUUUGUUGCGGAGUAUUUUGUGCCGAUGGAUGUUGAAUACAUUUUUUGAAUUCAUUUGCCUAGUACUCCAACGGCUAAUGAGGUGUUACGACAUUUUGCGAAGGAUGGCAUUUAUACUGUUAAAUAAGGGUGUCUUAUGUCUUUGGCUUGGGAGAAUAUGGAUGUUGCGAAAAGUUCUAGUAGUUCUUCAAGGGAUCGGAAUAAGAUCUAGCGUUUAAAUGUUCUUUGGAAGGCCAAAUUCUUUUUGUGGCAGGGUUACAUAGUUCUGUUUCAUUUAGUUAACGGCUAUUUGAAUUGAAGAAAGGGUUUGAUGAAUACAAACAUAGGACAGUGCAGAGAUCGAAACCAAACUUUAUGUUAGUGUAAGGUGCCCAAAAUCUUUUGCAUCGCUGCACUGCUUAAUUCAAAAUGUUCUUACAAAUGCCUUUGGCGGUCGGUCACAAUUUAAUAUAUUACCCAAUGGUGUUAUGUGUCAAACUCUAUUUUGAGAUUUUUGUGUUGAACUAUUCUUCUAUGGAUAUUUGGCAAAUGGUUUUGAAGGUUUUUGACACUUUUGGAGGACUGAUCUUGAAUUCUUAUGUCAAUUGUCAUGCUUUAUAUGGGUUGAGUAGUUCUCUAGGAAUAGAUAUCAAUUGUCUCUCUCUCUCUCACACACACACACACAAAUACACGCACACGCUUAUAUUUGCAAUGUUGUAAAUAUUUUACAACACUGAUUUUAUGUCAUAACAAAGUUAAGUUUAUAGUUUAAUCACUACGGCUUCCAUCAAAACAAAAUCCUGAAUCUACCGCUGACUAAGAAUGCUCGAGACUUUUUUUAUUAAAUGAGGUCCCGGGGAUAAAAUCUUAGGUGAAACAAUCCCACAGGACCCGCACCGUCAUCAUAUAGAUGUGGUGAGAUUUUUUUUUAUUUUCAAAUGGGGUAUUAUCAUUUUCCCACCAAAGUUAUUCUGACACUUCAUGUCAGUACCAUGGUUUGGUAAAAACAUCAUUUUACCACCAAACGUUUAAAUUGUUAGCAUUUUCUCACCAUUCCGUUAAAACUCAGUUAAUAUUUAACGGAAAAUACAUAAAAAGUCAAUUUUACCCAUGGAGCGUAAAAGACGAUUUUACCAUUUAAAAAGAAAGAACAACAAAAGACGAUUUAAUUAUAAAAUUACCCCCAAAAGACGACAAGACGAUUUUACCCUUUAAAAGGAAGAACAACAAGAGGACGAUUCAAUUACAAAAUUACCCCCAAAAGACGACAUUGCUGCGAGAGUGAGAGAGAUAUAGGUCAGUGACAGUGAGCGAGAAAGGGCGGAGAUGGAACAAGAAACGAGAGAGAGGGGCUUGAUUUUGAUUUCUAGGGCUUCCAUGUCCAAAUUGCUUGUUUUUUUACAAUUGCAAAACGCAACGUUUUGGCUUCGCAUGAGAUGUCCAAAAUGCCCUUAUGAUAUCAGCAUAAUUUUUAUUUAGCUAACGGAAUUGUGGGAAAAUUCUAACAGUUUAAACGUUUGGUGGUAAAAUGAUGUUUUUAUCAAACCGUGGUACUGACAUGAUAUGUCAGAAUAACUUUGGUGGGAAAGUGAUAAUAUCUCUUUUCAAAUUUAAAUUUGACAAACAUGAGAGACAAUGAUGGUGGGACUGAAAAUUUAAAUUUAAUUGGACGGUGCCAUCCCUCUCUCGUGUUUGUCAAAAUUUAAUUAAUUAAAUAGUUUAACAUAAGUUUUUUUCAACAGCAAGACAAUGUUUGUUUUAUUGUAAAGUCAAUGUAUUACGUCAAAGCGAGAAAGGAUUUGCUAUUGGUUUAAUAAUAUGGUUUGACACUAAACUGAUUUAUUAUUGUGAUAAUUGUCUUAUUUUUCUUAGUUAUUUUGCGAAUGUGAUUAAACCGAUUAAAUUGGUUCUAUUUAAUUUAGUUUAGCAUAUACAUAAAUGUAUCCCUAUAGCAAUCUCUACUGAUAAUACACUCGUAGAUUGAUCGGUCAAACUCUCGCAAAUUUGUUAAAAAACUGAAGUAACAAAAAUAAAUUUGUCCGAUCUAUUGACUUGACUAGGCUGGAAUGCAAACAUUAGCAUGUGGGUUCAUAUAUUUUUUUUCAAGUAAAUUUUUUUAAUCUCUACAGUUUGAGUAAACAGCAAUGCAAUUUAUACCACACAGGUAAAAAUAAUUUAAGAAAAUAAAUAAUAUGAAAUAUAAGAAAAUUAAUGAUAAAAUAUGGUUAUAUUGGUUUGAAUAAGAAAAAUAUUUUCGUAUAAGAAUUCCAAUCUUAUGCAAUUUAUACCACAGGAGGAAAAAUAUAUAAUUAAUUCAAUCCAACUUAUUCUAAUUAUUAUUAUUAUUUUGAAUAUAUAAUUAUUAUUAUAUAGAUGUGGAAAAAUAUAUAAUUAAUAUUGCCAGUAUCGCAUACAGUUGCAAAGCUACAGCCUUGCAUCUUGAACAACCUUCAGAUAGUCUUGACUCUUGAAUCCAAAUACUCCGCUACACUUGAGUGUAGCCAAUGAACCGUGGUCCUUCCUUAGCUAUAAUAUGAUCCUGUGAUGAAGUAUCACAUAUGCAAUUUUUGUAACGGAUAGACAAGAUGAAUUUAAGUGAAGUGAAAGCAUAAAAAAAAACAUAACUACAUAAAUGAAUCCCUUCAUGAUAUGUUUAGAACAGAGUUUUAUAUAAGGAGCCGGUAUGAUGUCGAGCUCUCAAAAGCUGUGUUUGGCUACCAUUUGGCAGCUAAAGACCUUGUACAAUCCGUUUAUUAACCGGUUGCACAUUAUUUUAAAUUUAAAAAAUAAAAUAAAAUAAUAUAUUAAUUUAGAAAUUAUAGAAAAAAAUAUUAAUAGUAAAAAAUAAAUAGAAAAUAAAAGAAAGAUAUAAUGUUGUCAAAAUCAAGAAAAAAUUUAUAUAAUAAAUUAAAAAUGUUUGUUUCAUAUAUUAUAUGUGAUGUGUCAUAUUUAACAUCAAAAUUUUCUAGAUGUUUUGUUAUUUUUCUCAACUUUGUUAUUCUAAAUAACCCCAAAAAGUUUUUUUUCCUGCCUGUUUUAUGUUUGACGUCCUUAUUGCAUGUUUGACCCCAUUCUUACAUCUUUCACAUGACCUGUUGCAUGUUGACAUGAUUUUCAUGUUUAACCUCAUAUAUUACAUGUUUGUCCUCACUUGUCACAUGUUUCACGUGGAUUGUUGCAUGUCUUAAAUAAAGCUAAAAAAUAAAAAUUAUCCCACCUAUUUUAUGUUUCACGUCCGCGUUACAUGUUUGAUCUCCGUUAUUGCAUCUUUUAUGUGAACUGUUACAUGUUGAUGUGGUUCUCAUGUUUAACUUUAUGUGUUGCAGGUUUGACCUCAACUGUUGCAUGUUUUACCUGACCUUUUUACAUGUAAAUUUCAUGUUGCAUGUUUGAUCUCACUUGUUGCAUGUUUCAUGUGGAUUUUCGCAUGUUUGAAUAAAGCCAGAAAUGAAAAAUUUCCCGACUGUUUCAUGUUUCACGUCUGUGUUACACGUUUGAUCUUCAUGUUGCAUCUUUCACAUUAAUUGUUGCAUGUUGAUGUCGUUCUCAUGUUUAAUCCCAUAUGAUGCAUGUAUGUUCCAUGUUUUAUGUGACCCUCUUACAUGUAAAUUUCAUGUUGCAUGUUUGACCUCAUUUGUUGCAUGUUUCACAUGGAUUUUUGCAUAUCUUGAAUAAAGCCAAAAAAUAAAAAUUGUUCCACCCGUUUCAUGUUUUACGUUCGUGUUGCAUGUUUGACUUCCGUCGUUGCAUCUUUCAAGUGAAUUUUUGCAUGUUGAUGUGGUUAUCAUGUUUAACCUCAUCUAUUGCAUGUGUUGACAUCAGAUGGUGCAUAUUUUACAUGACCUUUUAAAAUAUAAAUUUCAUGUUAUAUGUUUGACCUCACUUGUUGCAUGUUUCACUUGAAUUGUUUCAUGUCUUGAAUAAAGAGAAAAAUUGAAAAUGAGUGAGGAAGACAAAGUAACAGUACAUAUAAUCACGAAGUUGGCUAGCCAACUUAUUUAACAAUAAAUCUAGCGGUUAACCACUUCCACUCCAGAGACACCCAACAAUGAAACGGUUAGCCAAUUGAUUUAACGAAGAAUUAAGUGAUUUAUCGCUUCCACUCCGGAAACACUCAACAAUUAAGUAGUUAGUCGACUAAUUUAACAAGGAAUCAAGUGGUUAACUGCUUGCGUUCAAGAAAAUAGCUAACAAUGAAACAGUUACCCAAAUUGUUAAGCAAAGAAUUAAGCAGUUAGUUGCUUCCACUCCAAAAACAACUAAGUAUGAAACGAUUACUCAACUUAUUUCACAACAAAUGAAGCGGUUAAUUAGUACAACGAAUGUUUGACGUUGAUAUUUCAUGUAUCACAUUGUCUAACACAUGUAUAAAUAUCAUGUUGCAUUUCAAAAUUUCUUGACAUUUCACGUGAUAAUUUAUAAUCAAAAUUAUUUGUUUCAUAUUCUUUUUUAUUAUUAAUUAAGUUUAAUUAAGCCCCAUCUAUUAAGAAAAAAAAUGAAAAUUUGAUAAUUUAAGUGAUCAUUAUUACUCCAAGUAAUAAUUUAUCAUUUUAGUUAUUAUUUGUUUCAUUAUUUUGUAAUUUGUUUAAUUUUUCAAACGAAAAUAACUAUGGUGACAAUUUUAAAUUACCAAUUAACCUUCUUUUUUUUUAGUGCAAUUGGUAAUUUGUAAAUUUUUUAUUUUAAAAAUCAAAUAAUACAUACAACACAUUAAUUAUUUUGGAUUAAUUUCAUCAGAGCUUGUAAAUGAAACCCAUAAACAAAGGCAUCUCAAACUUUGUAAUUACAAAAAAAAAAAAAAAAAAAAAAGCGUAAAGAACAGAGUUGGCGGGUGCACGCCAUACGCGAAUUAAUUUUCACCAUCAUCUUCCACCAUAUGUCGUGAGCAAUGGAGGCUUUCCCUCCCCAUUACCAUUACAAAAAAAGUGUCGAAAAAGGUGUCGACCUGUGUCACACCCCCAUCCAAGAAGUGAGCUAAAAAUUAUGAAACUCCAAAGCACUGUCUAAGCAUAGCACACAGACUACUUCCAGCAUCUCCAUUAACAAAAUACUUGAAAAAAGCAAGGCAUGAGCUAUUAGCCCAUACACUUUUAAGCAUAAUGAUUCUAAUCACAUCUCAUUUAACCACGAGGCCAUGAAAACAUACUCAAAGAUUCCAAAAGAAAAUUGACAUUUAAGCACAUAAGAAUCAAUCUUAAGAAUCCAUCAAUUUUCAAAUCAAGCGAAAAAAAGUCAAUCGCUGAUCUAUAAGACCAAACUUCAAAGUCUAUAAUUUCAAUGAUCAAAUAACAAAUGAUGUCCAAAUAAAAUUCAUGGAAAUCUAUAGAAACCUUUGGCAUUAUUUGAGACCUUGUAAUAAGGACAGGCCUUGUUCAAUAAUCCCUUUAAAUUAUUGGGUUGGUUCAAUUACUAUACAAUUUUGCAGAUAUAAUCUAGACAUGUAAAGCACCUAGAAUAUAACAUCUUAGCUCAAAUUAGUUACAUUUAUUACUAUUUCUAUGACCCAAUAUUGAGUUACAGAAAACUGGUUUAUUGACAGGAAACACCAACAACCUAAGCUUGUGAUUUUCUUUAAAAAUUCAAUACUAUUCAGAAUAUUAUGAAAACUUCCAGAAUAUUAUUAGACACAACAUAUAAAAUUUUCAAGCCAUUUGGACAACUCUUUAAUAGGUUCUCACAGGAUUGAACUAAACAAAUCAAAACUGCCUUUUUAAUUCACACAAAUAAAGCUGAGCUUUGGUGAUUUAUUAAAAUUGAAAUACUCAGUAUGUUGGGAUGGAAAUUCCCAGAACAUAAUUACACAUAUAACUUGAUAACAUAUUAAAAGUUCAAGACAUUCUGAUAUCAUUAAGCUAAUGUUUCAUAAGAUCAAACACAAGUGAAUAGUUCUGCCAAGGGGUUUACGGCUAAAGCAGUGGAGUUUAAAAAAUCAUAAAAAACAAAAAAGUACCAGAAGUUCAAUUACCAUGGAACUUUCAACAUUUAAAAUAGACAUAUUGAAGUUUAAUAUCUCAAAAUUUCAGCUCAUGUUGACCCCAUUAGAUUAUUCGUUUAUAACACCAAACAUGGUACAUAUACAGUUUCUGAUAAAUUCCAACAGCAACUGACCAAUUUGACAAAUCCAUUAAAAAUCAACUAUUAGUUCAAUUCAUUACAAAAUGUCCAGAAUCGAAAUAUACAAUUCAGCUUUUAUUACUCAAAAUUUGAAUCUAAUCAAGCAUCAUUUAGUCAUAUUUUCAAACAAUCAAAGUUAUGAUAAACUAUUUAUCAUCUUUUCAGUUCAAUAAUCAAUUUUCUGGCAAAAUUAGACAUCCAAAACCAACAACAACCUUCCUUUUCAAUAUUGAAGUAACAAAACAUCAAUUGCACAAAGUUACCUACCUAAAUCACAAGCUUUAACUUCCUAGCCUCUUAAUAAAGCUUUCUGACACUCAAGUAUUGACCUCGGCCUUGACAUUACCAAAAAGCCUACCCAAAAUUUAAAAAAAAAUGAUAAUCAAUCACACUUCCAUUAAACAAAGUCAUGAGAGAUUAUUUGAAAAUUGAGGUGUUUUUUACCUCUUAACGAAUAGCUCAACGCCCAACUUCCAAUCUGUAGCACUACAUAAUUGAAACAUACGACCACCGAUCAACAAAUAACACAAAAAAUUGCUAACAGUUUCAAUUAAAAAUAAAAGCUGGUGAUUAUAUAGCGUUAAAUCAUCAAGCAACAGUAUAUGACAGUGAGUCUCUAGAAACAUCAAUAAAAGUUUCUGAAAAACAGCAAAAAAAAAAACAACUUAAAAGUAAUAUAAUGAAUAUCAACACAGAUAAAUAAGAUUGGUCAAAAAAUUAAAAAUAAAAGAAAAAGAAGCUGAAUGGAUAAAUCUCUACCAAAUUUGUGAGUACCCAUCUUUAGUAUUCCGAACAAUGAGUGCGGAGCUCAAAACAAACAAACAAGAAAAAAUUAGUAUAUCAAGAGAAAAAUAACACCUAAUAAAAAACCAAUCCUCAAAAAAUUAACUAAAAAAAAUUAACUUGCUUUGACGGUUUACGCUGGUGGCUUCACGAAGCUCACGCGGCAACGAUUUCGGCCAAAGCGAAAUCGUAUAGAUAACGGUGCGACAGAAAUAAUGGUAGAUGAUUCCGAUUGGUUGAUUGGUGUGAGAGAGACAAUGGAUUUGAUUUUAGGCGAUGAGUCCAGAAAUCGGAUGAGAGAAAUAAUGGAUUUCAAAGAGGGAAGAAAUUUUAGGGAUUUUCCUUUUGGGAAAGCGAAGAAAUCAGAUUGGUGAGAGAGAGGAGAAAAAAAGAAUGAGAGAAAUUUAGGGAUUUCUCAAGUUGAGAACCGGCAUCUCAAGCUGCCUUUCUUUCUCUAUUUUAAUUGAAUAUAAAAUAUCAACAGUUAGAUUCAUUUGAUUUCUAUUUUCGGUAUGCUGCUGGGCCUUGGUACCCGUCAUCGCAGCUUUAGCCUUCAUACAAGUGAUAAUAUAUAAGAACUUGUACUAGCGAAUUUACAGACAUA
rnacentral:lncRNA from 1 species